rnacentral:rRNA from 1 species
UUCGUAGCUGGAUUGUUAAGUCUCUUGGGAAAUCCGCCGGCUCAACCGGCGGGCGUCUAAGAGAUACUGGCAAUCUUGGGACCGGGAGAGGUAAGAGGUACUCCGGGGGUAGGAGUGAAAUCCUGUAAUCCCUGGGGGACCACCGGUGGCGAAGGCGGUCUACCAGAACACGUCCGACGGUGAGGGAUGAAAGCUGGGGGAGCAAACCGGAUUAGAUACCCGAGUAGUCC